rnacentral:misc_RNA from 1 species
UACAGAGGGCCCGAGCGUUACGCGGAAUCACUGGGCUUAAAGGGUGCGUAGGCGGAGGCGUAAGUGCUUUGUGAAAUCCCACGGCUCAACCGUGGAAUAGCAGGGCAUACUGCGUCUCUUGAGGCCAGUAGGGGUUACCGGAACUGUAGGUGUAGCGGUGAAAUGCGUAGAUAUCUACAGGAACGCCGAUGGUGAAGACAGGUAACUGGGCUGGUUCUGACGCUGAUGCACGAAAGCGUGGGGAGCAAACAGG